rnacentral:tRNA from 1 species
CGGACGGAAGCCUGUUGGUUUAGGCGUUUAGCUGUUAACUAAAAUAGUGUAGGAUCGAGGCCUGCUCGUCCUG